rnacentral:lncRNA from 1 species
UUCAGUUGGUUGAUAAUGUUGAGUUCUUGAUGGUUUCUACUCAGUUGCUGUGUAAGCACUUGUUCUAAAGAACUGAGUAGCUGAGCAAGCUUUACAAUAUCUCAGAUCGUAGAGUUGAGCUUGAGAGAGAUGUUUACGUGGUUUGUUCAAUGCUUGCUUGGUUCUCUCUCAUCUGUCUGAUAUGCAUAUAUGUGAUCUUGAAAACUAUCCGUUGGAUCCAUCCAUUGAGACAUUAAAUGCAUUUGACUUUUCUGAUCUUUGAUGGGGACAUUUCUGCACAUCUUCUGAAACUGCAUUCUGGCCCACUGACACAGCAGACUGCUUUCUCACCUAACACCUGAAAAGGUGUUUUGCCCCCUUACCUAUGGUACUUUCCUUAGCUUCUUCAAUACGUUUCUUUGUUGCAUACUAAGGAUAUUUAAUAUUACUUUGGGACUGAUGAGUACUGCAACGUCUAGAAUCCAUUCCUCAUAUAUUGGAAUCUGUCUUUACACAUAACAUGGGGCUCGACAUUUUCUGACAUAAGACAGAUGCUCUACGAUUCAGAUCGUAGUGACAUGUCACCUUGGUGCUCGAUCUGAUGCUAUCAGCUGAGAGCACUACGAUUUCUUUUAAACCCUUGCACACUACGAUCUUCACUUGCUCGUGUUGUUACUCUACGUUUCCAAGAGCACACUAUGAUCGUUGACUUGUAAACUUCAUGUUUUCUUCAGCACACUACGAUCGUUGAGAUGGCUCGGCAAACGUUGGGACCACUCUACGAUUUUCAAAGAGUCCCUUCAAGGCAGGCACAUUACGAUCUUUGAAGCUCUACGUUUCUGCCUUGACUUCUGCAAUGUUGAUCAGAUGAUACACUACGAUUUCN